AACGCAGUAUGCACAGACGCUGUCUGAGCUGGAAGGCGUGUGAUAUUUCUGUAUUAGUUUUCCGUAAAAAAAACCCGGGAACUGAAUGAAAACGUAGAUAAAUGAAAUUCUGGUUCGCGAGGUUGAUGACUAAACUUAUCCAAGUAGAUUUCCUUCAAAACAACUGAACUGAUGAUGGAGACAGAUCAAAUGGAAGAGGAUACCAGCAACACCAAUAUCGGUGAACAAGAACCGGGAGCAGAGACAGAUGAAACGAUGCAAAUGGAAGAGGGCCAAGUGCACACGACAACCGUGUUAGAUGAACAGAGUCUACAGCAACUGAUGGAUAGUGGAACUGUCAGUGAAGACAGCAUAAUCGCUAUAGUUCAAAACGAACAUGGAGAACCUCAAACGGUGGUGCUGAGUCGGCAGGAUGCAGAAGCAUUAGGCAUACAGUUGGAUCCUGUUGAGCAGCCUGUAGAAGAUGAGCAAGGUCAUGUUACUUCCACAGAAGAGUUGGAGGGAAUGACGGAACAAGUGGAUCAAGAGUCUGACAUGCAGCAAACAGAAGACAUGACUGAGUAUAACGCUGAAAAUGUUGAACAGUCUGAAUUCCAACAAGAAUUGCAGGCUGGAAUUCAAUCAGAUCUUCAAUCCCAACUGCACGCUGAAUUUCAAUCUGAACUACAAAAUGAUCUGCAAGAUGAACUCCAAGAUGAACUGCAGCAAAAUGAACUGCAGCAAGAUGAACUCCAAGAUGAACUGCAGCAAGAUGAACUCCAAGCUGAACUGCAGCAAGAUCUCCAAGAAACCACAAACCAGGGAGAAGAGAUCCAACCAGAAAUUCCCCCAGAGCUUCAACCUAAAAGUCAAGAACCUUUCCCAGUAACGGAUGCCGAAUUGGAACCACACGUUGAUACGCCGGUUCCAGAAGCCAUAUCAGUACCUGAUGAGAGCGUUCUCCCGAUGGAAACGCAAAUCCCAGAAGUAAAAACGAAAGAGCAAGUUCCGAAAGAAGAUGAAGAAAUGCACACGACGACGGUGUCCUUGGAUGCGGUUUCGCAACAGCUCGCUGAAGACGCUGGCGAUGGUGACAGCUCAGCUAAUGAUGUUCUAUCUAACAUCAUCCAGUCUUUAUUCAAUCCCAAUGAGCCAAAUCAAUCAAACGUUUCGAUUGUUCCUAGGAUGGUGGGUGGCAAGCGCAAAUUGUGUCUCAGGCUGCCCGCCAGCACGGCCAGCGCUCUUUUGGCACAAACGGGAAGCCCACUAGCUCAUUCCUUCACGGAAGGCGGUAUCCCGAAGAAGAUCAAGAUCGUUAUCCCACCCAAUUCUCUAUCGAAUAGUGCCGGCAGUUUCGUCACUAGCCUUGCCAAUUCCGCAUCCGUUAUCCAUCAAGAAACGAAAGUCGUGAAAAUUUCUACAUCGCAACAAAUAGCCAACAACAAUUCGGGCGGGAAAACUACAGGUCCUGCACGACUCGAUCCCGACACUUUACCGAAUAGCAGUUCUUUCUCUUUAAUGUCCUCUCCCGUUAAAAGCUCGUCGAAACCUUUUCUGGCCUCCCUCUUCAGUACCACGUCGACCACGACUCCGAGUGCCUCGUUAACAGUGACGCCCGUUUCCAACCCACCAAAGAAACCUUUAGGCAGCACCGAAAACCCCAUCCAGCUGGUCCAAGAAGGCAACAGCUUCCGUAGUCUUCAGCCGCUCACCCCGGAUCAGUUAAAACACAUCGCUUCGGUGUUAAAACAAAACCGACAAGCGAUCCUGUCUGGCGACGGCAAAGGCGGGAGCGGUACCAUCGCCAGCAGCUCAGAAGGCGAUGGGGGCAAACGGCGCGUUGUCUACGAUGCCAAGUCCAACACGAGGAUCGUCUAUCGAGUCGUCACUCCUGGCGAAUUGAAGAAAACACCUUCAACAGUGGGAGUGACGACUACAGUCACCAAUACCACCCAUGGUACGAUAACCACUCCUAUCGCCGUGAAAAGUUCCGUCACCUUAACACCGGCAGCGACUACAACUCCGGCAGUUGUCAGAGGACGUGGAAGAGGUCGAGGUCGACCCCCCGGACGCACAAUACCCUUCGUUCCAAAGCGCAAGCCCGCAAGCACAGAAGAAUCGGACUCGGAAGAUGUGCAGGAAGAUGAUGCAGUCAGCACCAGCAUAGACAUGUCUAAGGAGGAGCGAGAAGGCAAGAAGAAGCUGCUACCGCGAACACGAUCUGGUCGAGUGUCUAAACCUCCCCGUCACAUGGUCAAGGAUUACAAACGACUGCACCAUUUAGAUUUUGCCCAGCCGGAUUUGGAUGACUCUGAUGGUGGCUAUUCAGAUUACCGUAUCGAUCAUUUGUCGCCCAACGUGGUGGUUGGGAACGAGGAAAGCAACGAGGAUUCUUCGGAAGAUUCCAAAGAACCUAUCAAAGCCGUCAUACCAACUUCCCCGUUCAAUUGCGCCACUUGCAAACGCGAAUAUACAACUCCCCACAGGUUAUCGAGACAUUUUGAGCAGUUUCCCGACCACAGUAAUAAUGUGACAACCCGUCGUAGUUCAACUGUUUCGGCAUCGGCCAUCGAAAAGAAAAACGGGCAGCAUGAUAGAGAAGAACCAGAUGCCGAAGAAGAGUCAGACUCUACUGAAACGGAGAAAGUUGUCAAACGGACUGUCAGGACGUCAACUGCUGCCAGCACUAUUAGGGGAAGAGGUGGAUGGAGAGGCGGACGCGGUCGUGGUCGAGGAAGGGGACGAGGCCGAGGGGUUGGCCGACCUCCUUUGAUUCGCUCGCCGGCUGUACUUUCAGAAAAGAGGAAAAUCCGCCUUGCGGAGGCCUUGGAAGUAUGCACGGAUGAAGAAGUGGUGGAUGUUGCCGGCCCUAGACUUUCAGCCGCUAUGUCAAGUUGGGAAUAUUUGUUGUUAAGGGUGCAACAGGAAGACGAAGGCAAUAGUAGCGCUCCGCUUAUCCCGCGGAUUCUCAACGAAGUGACUUCCUUAUUUGACCGGGUUUCUAGCAUGACUGCCCGCCACUUGCAUCCUCAUAGUAACGGCGGCGACGGUGGUGGGAAUGGAGAAGAACACGAGCCUUACCAGCUGACGAAUCCUGAGACGGCCCGGUUGCUUGGCCUCCAGUGUGGCACUUAUUUUAUCAGCAAAGACGAACGCAAGUUAUUGGAGGAAGACGCGGUCAAUUCGGCUCAUUUGUCUCAGACAGCUUCGUCAUUGGUCGACGGAACUUCCGUCCCUCCUGCAACCGCAUUAAUUGCUGUAAUAGAAGAUCAGCCGCAGAUUCCGGUUGCGGCCGUUGUCGUCCCCCCUCAAUCGGAGGACUUGACUCAACAACAAGAAGAGCAGCAGCAAGAAGACGAGGCUCAACUGAAAGCGAUCCAGGCGGAUUCAGCAGCAGCGGCCGCUUCAAAGUUGUGGGAGGAGCUGGAAGAAGCCGAUCACUUGCCACCGACGGCAGGCAGUGAGUCCGGAAUUGGCGGAGGACCCGAUGGAGACCAAGCAGACGACGAUGCCGUCGACAGUGAACUGAUGCAAGUGGAUGAAAUCGUCAAUCAAGUGGUUGAAGGCCAAACGGGUGGCUCUCAGGCUCCUUCUCCUCUUUGAAAUGUCGACCCCAAUGACAACACCCACUACCCCAUUUUGAUCCCUUAUCCAGAAAAAGUGCGAGAGUCAUUAAACGCCGACAAUGUUAAAAAUACAGAAGGAGAAAAUGAGAAAAAAGUGCUCUCGCCAUAUUUUGUCCUCUCCCUAUUUUUUUGGUGUCUUUAAUUCAGCCAAAACGCGGAGCAACCUGGCAAGUUACGUUUUGUUCAAGUUAUAAUUAGGUUUUUUUUUCCCUAUUCUUCUCUUUUCUUUUCAAAUCUUUUUUUCUGCCUGUCAGAUUUUUUUUCUUCAUUAUUUUUCUCAGUACAGUUCCAUCUAAUUCCUGUUUCCACCUCCGUCUUGUUUGUUUUCCCUUUCUCCCCUAUAUUGAAAACACACACACACAUCUUACGUGGCAUUUGACAGUGAGCUGAAUACCCCUCCCCCCCAUCCCCAAUCCAAUAUGAAUACAAACAAAGUCGCAACGGAGUUCAAUUAUCUGACAUCUUUUUAUUUCCAAAUCUUAUUUGGAUGCUGAUGUUAUUAUUUCGGUUGGUGCAGACGAAGUAAUAGCAAGUAUUUUGGUUGAUUCUUAAAGUUCAAACUUUCCUUGUUCUACUCUUAAAUGAUAAUUUGUUUAAUUUAGCCGAAUGAUAGCAAAGUUCUGAUUGUGAUAUCACGGCUACAAGUAAAUUUGGUUGGCCAUGUUUGCACAUUAUCCCCAUUAUGGCGUUUCCUGCCACCACCACUGAAGCCUCUCUGCAAUAAUUAUCAAAAAAUGCCUUUCCACAAGGUUGUUAUCUACCAUCGAAUCCGGAAACAUUGGCUAGAAGAGAAGGACUGUGACUGUGAUAAAUGUGCGGCCAAUUCCCCUUUUUCCACAUUUCAAGGUGCUACGUUUGCGGUUUGUAUGAACUGGAACUCCGACCAAUGGUCUUCUGUUGUAAAACGGAAACAGAAAACAGUCGCCAAACGAAGACAAUGGCAAUUUAGUGUGCGGCUAAAAUCAACAAAUGAACCGUAAUAACAGCUGGUGCAGACAUCCGCAAAGACAAGCUGGCCCAUCAGGACAUUGUGUGGAUAUGUUCUUGUCAACUAAAACAAGUUUCUCAAAACGAAAAAAAAAAUUGCCAUUCAUACCGUCCGGCUCGUUUCGUUCUCAUGAUCAUCGAAUCGUGAAACAGGCAAUAACACGAUCACCACGUCCGCUCAUCUUUCCACAACAUCUGCAAAAUUCCUUGCGGAUGAUUAAACACUCUCAGGAAAAAAUUUUCAUAUACUAAUAAAAUACCUAGUAAACUUAUCCCCAAUUGAAUUCAUGCAAAUAAUCAUUUUUUUCUUUCUUUUUAUCAGACCGUGUUUCACCUAAAUGUAUUAUUCCAUGAAUAUAUAAUAUAUAUACACACUGGGAGUGUGCUGGCAAUUUACCUUGGUGCGCAAAAA
rnacentral:misc_RNA from 1 species